UGGCNNGCUUAACACAUGCAAGUCGAACGGUGAAGGGGAGCUUGCUCCCCGGAUCAGUGGCGAACGGGUGAGUAACACGUGGGCAAUCUGCCCCAGACUUCGGGAUAACUCCUCGAAAGAGGUGCUAAUACCGGAUACGAACUCCUUGGGCAUCCUUGGAGUUGGAAAGUUUUUCGGUCUGGGAUGGGCCCGCGGCCUAUCAGCUAGUUGGUGAGGUAAUGGCUCACCAAGGCGACGAUCGUUAGCUGGUCUGAGAGGACGAUCAGCCACACUGGGACUGAGACACGGCCCAGACUCCUACGGGAGGCAGC
rnacentral:rRNA from 2 species